AACCUCCGCAAUGUGAGAAAUCGCGACGGGGGGAUCCCAAGUGCCAUUCUUAACGGGAUGGCUUUUCAUUAGUGUAAAAAGCUUUUGGAAUAAGAGCUGGGCAAGACCGGUGCCAGCCGCCGCGGUAACACCGGCAGCUCUAGUGGUAGCAAUUUUUAUUGGGCCUAAAGCGUCCGUAGCCGGUUUAAUAAGUCUCUGGUGAAAUCCUGUAGCUUAACUGUGGGAAUUGCUGGAGAUACUAUUAGACUUGAGACCGGGAGAGGUUAGAGGUACUCCCAGGGUAGAGGUGAAAUUCUGUAAUCCUGGGAGGACCGCCUGUUGCGAAGGCGUCUAACUGGAACGGUUCUGACGGUGAGGGACGAAAGUUAGGGGCGCGAACCGGAUUAGAUACCCGGGUAGUCCUAACUGUAAACGAUGCGGACUUGGUGUUGGGGUGGCUUUGAGCUGUCCCAGUGCCGAAGGGAAGCUGUUAAGUCCGCCGCCUGGGAAGUACGGUCGCAAGACUGAAACUUAAAGGAAUU
rnacentral:rRNA from 1 species